rnacentral:rRNA from 1 species
AUUGAACGCUGGCGGCAGGCUUAACACAUGCAAGUCGAGCGGGGGAGGUUGCUUCGGUAACUCACCUAGCGGCGGACGGGUGAGUAAUACUUACGAUUCUGCCUAUUAAUGGGGGACAACAGCUCGAAAGGGAUGCUAAUACCGCAUACGCCCUACGGGGGAAAGCAGGGGAUCAGUUGUGACCCUGCGUUAAUAGAUGAGCCUAAGUAGGAUUAGCUAGUGGGUGGGGUAAAGGCCUACCAAGGCGACGAUCUGUAGCGGGUCUGAGAGGAGGAUCCGCCACACUGGGACUGAGACACGGCCCAGACUCCUACGGGAGGCAGCAGUGGGGAAUAUUGGACAAUGGGGGGAACCCUGAUCCAGCCAUGCCGCGUGUGUGAAGAAGGCCUUAUGGUUGUAAAGCACUUUAAGCGAGGAGGAGGCUCUUUUGGUUAAUACCCAAGAUGUGUGGACGUUACUCGCAGAAUAAGCACCGGCUAACUCUGUGCCAGCAGCCGCAGUAAUAC